GGGGUAACCAGNNGGCCNCNAGUUUGCAUCUANAUACGGGGGUGACGCUUGUGGAAUGAGCGGCGGACGGGUGAGUAACACGUGGGCAACCUGCCUGUAAGACUGGGAUAACCCCGGGAAACCGGGGCUAAUACCGGAUAAUACUUUCUUUUGCAUAAAGGAAAGUUGAAAGGCGGCUUCGGCUGUCACUUACAGAUGGGCCCGCGGCGCAUUAGCUAGUUGGUGAGGUAACGGCUCACCAAGGCGACGAUGCGUAGCCGACCUGAGAGGGUGAUCGGCCACACUGGGACUGAGACACGGCCCAGACUCCUACGGGAGGCAGCAGUAGGGAAUCUUCCGCAAUGGACGAAAGUCUGACGGAGCAACGCCGCGUGAGUGAUGAAGGUUUUCGGAUCGUAAAACUCUGUUGUUAGGGAAGAACAAGUACGAUAGUAACUGAUCGUACCUUGACGGUACCUAACCAGAAAGCCACGGCUAACUACGUGCCAGCAGCCGCGGUAAUACGUAGGUGGCAAGCGUUGUCCGGAAUUAUUGGGCGUAAAGCGCUCGCAGGCGGUCCUUUAAGUCUGAUGUGAAAUCUCGCGGCUCAACCGCGAACGGUCAUUGGAAACUGGAGGACUUGAGUACAGAAGAGGAGAGUGGAAUUCCACGUGUAGCGGUGAAAUGCGUAGAGAUGUGGAGGAACACCAGUGGCGAAGGCGACUCUCUGGUCUGUAACUGACGCUGAAGAGCGAAAGCGUGGGGAGCGAACAGGAUAGAUACCUGGUAGUCCCGCCGUAAACGAUGANUGCUAGUGUUAGGGGGUUCCGCCCCUUAUGCUGANU
rnacentral:rRNA from 1 species